GGAAGAGCAAGCCAAUAGGCGAUGGCAGCUGUUUCGAAAACAGUCGAGCGAUGAGCCUUGAGGGUUCGACUCCCUCUCCUUCCGC
rnacentral:tRNA from 1 species